UCAGUGAUCGCUCAGGUGGUAGAGCACGAGACUCUUAAUCUUAGGGUCGUGGGUUCGAGCCCCAAAAGAUCCCUGCA